CCUGUGAACUCGUCUGUGUUAU
rnacentral:miRNA from 10 species